UACGGAGGGUGCAAGCGUUUAUCCGGAUUCACUGGGUUUAAAGGGUGCGUAGGUGGGCAGGUAAGUCCGUGGUGAAAUCUCUGAGCUUAACUCAGAAACUGCCGUGGAUACUAUUUGUCUUGAAUGUUGUGGAGGUGAGCGGAAUAUGUCAUGUAGCGGUGAAAUGCUUAGAUAUGACAUAGAACACCAAUUGCGAAGGCAGCUCACUACACAAUUAUUGACGCUGAGGCACGAAAGCGUGGGGAUCAAACAGG
rnacentral:rRNA from 1 species